rnacentral:lncRNA from 1 species
ACCAUGCUUUUAUUCACUCUUCUUAUUCUGCAAGUCUGCAUUUCAAUCUUAAAAUUUUCAUUACCUAGAGAUUCCUCUUUAAAAGGACCUAAAGUUUGUCCUGAUUCUGGUUAAUGUUUUUUUUCUUCUUACCAAGUCUGGGUUAUUAAGAGAAAUUAUAUAGGUUUGAAUCCAGUUUGAAUUUGUAGGAAAUCAGUAGUAACACCUAAUUGGUGGGAGAACUACAAGAAUAACGUUUGCUUAGGGGUAAUUUGAAGGGAAUAACAGUGAUUUCUAACAAUUUAGAAAAGAUUAUCUUGUCAGUGCAGCUUCAAGCAUGCAUUCUUCUACACUUGUAGUUGAUAAAUUUCGACUUUUCUCGAGUAAUUUAUUUUGCUUGGAUUUUGCAGAUGGCUAAGCUGGUGAAAUGCCACAAGUAUAGCCGGAGGCGGCCAUCUGAAGGAUGGAACUACACAGUUGAGAAACUAGGUCCACGGGGCAAGCGGGGAAAUGGUGGUGGCUGGAAAUUUGUCAGCGCCCCAGACGGUUCCACCAGACCUCUAAAUGAGUACGAAAAGAUGUUUGUGAGGAGAGAGACUCCUCGCAGACGGAGAAGAAUUCUUCCGUGAUAUUGGUUGCAGAUGAAUGCAAAGUCAUCUGAUGAUUUCAGGAAGCUUAGUUAGUCAAUGAGGAUGUUCUGGAUAUCUUCUUUUCUGUAUUCAUCUUCUCCUGAAUUUUGUACCAGCUCAUGGAAGCUAAUCAUGUUUACCACUGCAAUCUCUUUGUAGAUUAUCCUUUCAUUCUGCUAUACUAGUGACUCUAAGAGCUGUGCAGUGGAAAACAGCAUGACAUGAGCUCCUCUUUCUCCCUAUUUUUUAUUGUAACUCAUAGUCAUUGCCUAACAAUUUAGCAGUCCAUUUCUGUUGCAUGGAAGUGGAGAUCCUUUGAUCCAGCGGGUACUUGAGGUUUUGGUGAUCGUUUUAAUGACUAAAUGUCUGCCUAUCAUUUCUUGUCUCCAAUUUUGCACACCACACGCUACUGCUAGCAUUUUCCUUUCAUACAGAGACAUCCCUUGAUGUUUAUGGGCCAAAAUUCCUUCUGAAAUGAGCAAGUGGCUUGGAAUUCCAGGAAAUACAUUGACACAAUUGAUGCAGAAGCUGUACAAGUUCCUAGUCUCUAAUUCCAGGAAUAACAGUAAUGAAGAAUACUCCUACUACAAGAAAUGAGAAAUUGUAUCGCAAUAAUGAAAUUGAGAAAAAAGAAGAAUGCAAGGGAAGAUGGACCUUUCCAGACUGAUAUCUGCCCUUCCUUCUUAGUUCCCACUUAUUACAUCAAGAACCCAGAACCUAACUGACGAGUAGUUAUCAGAAUAAAAUAAAAGUACAACCCUUGAAGCUAUAGCAAAGGUGGUCAUAUGAAUCAUUGGUGCAUCAGAUGGAUAUCUAUUUGGGAUUUCAUUUCAUGUUUUUAUUUGGUUAACGUACUCUGAAAUUCAGCUGGUCUAAAUUAGUUGAUUGGAACUACGCUUGACGUUGCAAAAUCUAAUGCAGCUCGAUCUUCAUUUUGGCAAAUUGUCAUGCUUUUAUUCUAACUACUGAUCAACUAUGCUACUCUCUUUGGAAUUGCAUGCCUGUCUUGGUUCCUGUUUGAUAAAAAAGCCAAUUUAUUGACAAAUUUCCACCAGGAUGAAGUGAAUAUAUCCGUUAAAAUUUUAAGUUUGUUUUAGAGAAGCCUCUGAAUUAAAGGAAAAACUUGUGUGAUGCCUUGGAGUCACUUAAUCUUGGUCCACGCGGAGUCACUUAAGUUAGAUGUAACUUUUGGAGGAAUAUGAAUUAAAUCAAGAGUACUGUUAGUGUAGUUACACUAGCAGGAUUAAUUCAUGUUACAUAACCCCUGAAAUCAAAUUUGAAAUUUAAAUCAUACACAUAUGACAUACAUCCAUAGUUGCCACGGUAAGAAAUCAUGAAAUCAUGCACAUGUGACAUACAUCCAUAGUUGCUAGAGUAAGAAAAUCACUACACUGUCUAUACAUCAUGUAAAUAUAACAUACAUCCAUAACUACUAAAGUAAGAAAAUCACGAGAUUAUGCAUAUCUGACAUAUAUUCAUAACUGUUAGAGUAAAAAAAUCACUACACUAUCAGUGCAUCAUGCACAUGUAACAUACAUCCAUAGCUGAUAUAGUAAAAAAAAUCACUACAUGCUCAUGUAACAUAUAUUCAUAGCUACUAGAGUAAAAAAAUUACUAUACUGUCAGUACAUCAUGCACAUGUAGUCACUAUAGUCAAAAAGUCACGAGUAAGAAAAUCACCACACUAUUAGUGUAUAAAAAAUUAAUCACUAUAGUUAGAAAAUCACUAUUAGUGUACAAUUUUUUUUACACUAGUAGGAUUAGUUCAUGUUACAUAACGUUAAUUCAAAUUUGAAAUUUAAAUUAUACACAUAUGACAUACGUCCAUAGUUAUUACGGUAAGAAAAUCACGAAAUCAUGUAUAUGUGACAUACAUUCAUAGGUGCUAGAGUAAGAAAAUCACCACACUGUCCGUACAUCAUGCACAUGUGAUAUACAUCCAUAACUGUUAGAAUAAUAAAAUCACUACACCAUUAGUGCAGCAUGCACAUGUAAUAUACAUUCAUAGCCGAUAGAGUAAAAACAUCACUACGCACGCAUAUGACAUAUAUUCAUAGCUAUUAAUGUUAGAGUAAAAAUAUUAUUAUAGUGUUAGUGCAUCAUGUAUAUACAACAUACAUCCAUACCCGCCGCUAUAGUAAGAAAAUCAACAAAAAUUAAUGAAUUGAAUGGAUUUUGUGUAUUGGAUACAACGAAACUUCCUCCAAUUGAUAUGGAUUCUAUGUAUUAGGAAGGGGGGGGGGGGGAUUCCGUUUUUUGUGUAGUCUCACCAAUUAGACAACUUUGAUUCUCAUAAUUUAAAAACUCUUUUAAGUAACUCAAAAGUAGAACCAGCCGGUGUGUUGAUGCUGCCCAGGAUCGAACUGGGGACCUUUAGUGUGUAAGACUAACGUGAUAACCACUACACCACAGCAUCUGAUUGGCCAUUCGUUUCUAACAUCUGAUUGGCCAUCCGUUUCUAAUAUCAUUAUGAGCACAACCAUUUUUCCCUUUCUCAAUGUUAUCAACAGGUUGAAGUAAUCUAAUCAUAAUCUUGUGCUUCCAACGCCUAACUCAAUUGGCAAGAAAAUUAGCUGAGUAAAAAAAAAAUCUGAUGUCUCAUCUAAAUUUUGUUUUUCGUUGGCCCUUGAAUAAUUAAAAUUAUACACUUUAAGAACUUUAAAUGACUUUAGGCAUAAAUUUGAUCGGAUUAAGGGGCAUUUUGUUCAUUUGUAAUUGAAGUUUUCAGACUAGCAUCAGAAAUCCUAAAAAGAGGUGACCCUUCAAUUUGUUAAGCACACCAUUAGAUUUUUUUUUUUACAAAUCCUCAAAAAAAUUGAGUUUUAACUAUAAGAAAAAAAAACCUUGCACCAUGGCUUGCGUACGGUGUUUUUUUCAGCAAUUUAAAAGAUUCACUGUCAAAAUCUUUUGGGUAAAACUUGAUUUUCAUAGUAUUUGUAAAGAAAAAUGUAAUGGUGUGCUUAAGAAAUUGAAAGGUUACCUCUUUUAGGGUUUUUAUUUUGGUCUCGAUGCUUCAAUUAUGAAUGCACAAAAAUGCCCUUUAAAUCUGGCCAAAUUUAAACCUAAAAUCACCGGAAGUUCUUAAAGUAUGUUGUUUCAAUUAUUCAAGGACCAAUCGGAAACAAAAUUUAAAUGAGGGGAUAAAAGUAAACAACAUCAAUAGUUUUGGAACUCCCGUUUUAUCCAAAUUAGCUAGGUUACUACGAAGUUACCUCCUCUCCCAUUUCUCUUAUAAAGUUUGAAUAAAAGCAUCAUUUCCUAAAUAAAAAGUGGUAUACGUUAUCAAAUUCAGGUAUUUUGUAAAUACAAUGUCUUAUCUACUGUUCUAUGAUAAAAUUGCAAUAAAUUACUUUAAUUCACACGGGUAAUGCUCAGUGGUAACACAUUGGAGGGGGUUUUGGAACUCAGUGCUCUAAAUUUAAUUUGUCACUAAAAUUGACAAUUAGAGUUCUAUGUUAUCAUAGGCAUAUUUGGAUUUACUUCAUUUUGGUGUUAAAAAGUAUUUACAAAUUUUAGAUGAUUUUUCUAAACCUAAAAAUGUUUAAAUUUUGUCUUCCAAAGAAUAUAUAGUUUUUUUUUUUGGCAAAUUUCCAAGCCUAUGUUCUUAUUCCGGGAGGACUCAAAUUUAAAGAGUUCCAAGGCCAUGCUAUUAGUAUUACUAGUCUUUUUUUUUUAAUCAUGCUUUAUUUAUAUAUAAGAGAUGGAUAUUUCAAGCUUUUCACUUGUUUUUCUGCUAAUUAAAAGCUACGCAUUUAUUAUAAUAGAAAAACGUAUAAUAAAUUAACAUAUGGAGAAAUUGUUGUUAAUGUACAUUUAUUAAUUAAUUUUACUUUACCCCAGGGCAUAUAUCAUAUAUGUAUAGUACUAUUUAAACACCAAAUAAGCUCUCAAAAAAAAAAAGGAAUCAAGAACAAAUUGAAAUUUAUUUUCAUGUUGCUAAAAACGGAACAAACUUUUUUGAAUUUUCUUGUUAUCAAAUAAGCUCUCAAAAAAAAAGGAAUCAAGAACAAAUUGAAAUAUAUUUUCAUGUUGCUAAAAAACGGAACAAACAUUUUUUAAUUUUCUUGUUUCAAGGGGAGCCAAAUUGAAAUACUUUCACUUAUAUAGGGGUUCAAUCAAUCAAAAUCAAUUUGGAGAGCCAAAAUGAAAUUUAAACCAAUUGCUUUUUCCAAUUCCAACCCAAAUAGGACCCAUAUUCCAUAAACCGAUCUACAACAACAGCCCAUAUACACAUGGAUCUAAAACCCGACCCGUCUGGGAAUGUUUACUUGAAGGAGAGGAAAACUCUCACAUAAACAAAUAAAAGUAGUACCCAAAUUCAUCGGCUUCCAAUUUUCACUUUUCAUCUUUCAUUAAUCAAAAUCCAGGAAAAAAAUUAACGAAAAUGGUAUGUGAUUUUGAGUUUGUUUUUCUUGUCAUUAGGUUAUUUUAAUUUGUUUAUUCAAUUAAUCUUCUGGGAAUUGGAAAUUUCUGCAGAUUGUGGACUCUUCUUCUCCAGCUCCACUAAGAAUAGCUUACUACUCAGUUCGGAAGCCGAUUUGCAGAGAACUCAGUAAUGUUUUCUCUCGCUUGUUCUCAUUUUUUGUAUUUAUUCAUUAAUUUGCUGAGUUAUAGAUUUAUUUGUUUAAAGUGGAGGAGAUCACUUGUUAUCUAGGGUUUUUCUUAAUUAAGUAGGGUUUGUGGUUAAAGCAAUAAGUUUAGAUUUUUUUUUAAAGGUAAUAACUUUGGAAUUUCUCUGAUUUUGAGAGUUUCGUUGUGGGAUUCUCAUGUAUAGGGUGGUUUUUUAGAUUAAUAAUUUUUGUGGGAUUUCUUGUAUGUUGAAUUGAAAUUAUGGGUUUUUUAAAUAGGACACCUUAUGUGACUGGGACGUCUGUGAUUGCGAUUAAGUAUAAGGAUGGCAUUCUUAUUGCUGCUGAUAUGGGAGGUCAGAUUACUCACUACAUUUUUUUUAAUCUAUAUAUGUUUCUCUGUGUGUCUGUGUGUGUUUAUGUGUGUGCGUGCGCGUGCGCGUGCAGUUGUGGCCUGCAGAAGUAGCUUUGUUGUGUGGGUGUGCAAUGGAUGGACAUUAGUGUGUGAAUUUGAAGAUAAAGCUGUACUUUUUGCAAUAUGAUUGUAUACUCCUAGCUUAGCAUUGACUUUGGAAGCAAGUUAAGCAAGGAAAUAAAAGAGCUGUGGUUGCUGCUUAUAACGAAUCAAAGUUGAUGCUGUGGACCAUUGAUCUGUAACUUGGAUUUUGGGUCUGCUUUUGCGAACAUUUUGUAUUUUUUUUAGUUGCUCUUAUUUACAUAGCAUUCUAAGAUUUGAAUAGGGCCGUCAAGUUAGUGUGGCUUUAGAAUAUUGCUCCAAUGAAGUUGUAGAAUGACUUGUUUUUAUCAUGUACACAUCUUUUUUGUAUUAUGUACACAUCAGUAGAGAAUAAGAUUUGGAUCUCAUUUCUUUUGAGAACCUGUCAAUAAGAUUUGAUAUGUGCACUGUCUAAUAUGUCUUUAAGUAUUGUAACUGUUGGAGGUCGAUGGAGUCAAUUUACUGGACUGAUUGAAGUCUUAAUAGUAAAAAUACAAUAUUGAAGUGAUAAUAGACUCCUCUUAAAAGAGGAGUACAUAAAGUACAAUAAAUGUAAACACGAGAAAAACAAUCAAAAGGACGGGAAUUUAGAUUUCAAAAGCUGUUUGGUUAGAAGCUAGAUAUCAUGCUAUAACUCCAAGCAACUGAACAAAUUGUUCCAGAGGUGUAAAACACUGUAAUGCAAUUAAUAAUCUCGUAUCUUGGAAGUAUUUCAGCUUAGAAAGAUCAAAGAAAUCAGCUGUACAUUGAAGUUAGGAACACUAUCAAAACAAGAAGAAAGCAAGGGGGUGCACGCUUGAUAGAAGCAAAUUUUGAUAGUGAAUUUGCAAAGAUUUGUUUAUGCACAUCAGCCAUUGUGCUUCAUCUGUUAGUAGCUUAUCAGAUCACAUUAACUGAAAACAUAGUAAUGUUAAAUAAUAACUAAAUCUGCAAAGCAAGAUUGGUUGGACAAGUGAACCAGCUCAAACAACUGUCACUGCUAGGAGGACAGGAAUAAAAGAUGUAAAUGAAAAUGCUGCUAAUGAACCGAAAGAACCUGUUAUCAUACUUCGCAUUUUGGCUACAGAAACUCUUAUUUGUCUGUCUUCAUAUGAAGAUUGUUCUGAUUUAGUGUAAAGUUGUUCUAGCAAACAAUUUAGCAAAGUAAUACGAUUCUGACACUCAAGUGCAAUAAUUUCUGUAUUGAUGGCACGGGGUACCGUGGUGUUUGUUUGUUUUGGAACUGCUGAGUCUUACGAAAAUGUUGUAUACUGUAAGGAUGAAAUAUCCUACUCAAGUUGUUGUGUCAUGUAAUACAACUUUCCCAUCUUCAGGCUCUUAUGGAUCAACCCUUCGUUACAAAAAUGUGGAGCGAAUAAGCCAGUAGGAAAACAUUCUCUUAUCGGGGCAAGUGGAGAAAUCAGUGAUUUCCAGGAGAUUUUGCGUUAUCUUGAUGAGCUAAUGUAAGUGUCUAUCCUGGUCUGGUCGAAAGGUUUCAGUUAAGAAACAAUGAGUUGGAAGCAUUUCCAUUUUGCCUUUGCCUGUGUUUUUGUCAAUCAGGUUUAGCUAGUAAUGCAAAUAGUUUGGUUAAACAGUUUUCAUUGUAGUAAAUCCUUAUCAUCUCUACUCCUGGCUGCAGGCUAAAUGAUAGCAUGUGGGAUGAUGGAAAUUCCUUGGGCCCUAAAGAGGUUCAUAAUUAUUUAACCCGAGUGAUGUACAAUCGCGCAAUAAGUUUAAUCCUCUGUGGAAUUCUCUUAUUCUUGGAGGAGUGAAAAAUGGACAGAAGUACCUUGGAACGGUAAUCCCUAAAUUGCAUACAUAAGUUGUUUAGCAAUUACCAUUUAUUCAGUAAUAUCUUCUUGACAUAUGUGAUGGUUCUUCAGGUUAAUAUGAUUGGUGUACAUUAUGAGGAUAAUCAUGUUGCAACUGGUUUUGGUAAUCACCUUGCACGACCCAUUCUCAGGGAGGAAUGGAAUGAAAACUUGACCUUUGAAGAAGGUGUCAAGCUAUUGGAGAAGUGCAUGCGCGUCCUCCUUUAUCGUGAUAGAUCAGCUGUGAACAAACUCCAGGUAUGGUUAUUUUUGUGAUAGUCUGCAAUGAUGAUAGCUUCUUGAUUGUGUGUUUUAACCCAUAUUAUAUGCUAGUGUUUUGUAUUAUUUCCUUUGAUACAAUUUUAUUCUUUUUACUUGGUAUAUGUUUAUAUUCAGGCUGGUUUUUCUUCAAGCAUCUUUGACAAAGGUUUUGUUUUGGAAAAAAUGGGUAAUGUCAAAUAUUGAGAAGCAGGAAUCUUGUCUGUGAAAGAAGUCAUCAUUACCCAACUUGCUUGUAUGACGUUGUUAUAUUUGAGAUACCUUUUCUGGUGCUUAAUUUUCCAAAUCCUUCUUUAUGUUUCAUGUAUGAAACAAAAAGAAAAUAAAAUAGUUCUUACUAAUGGCAGUUGGGUAUCAUUCUCCAAUUACUGCUCAAAGAAUUAUUUUCACGGUCAAGAACAGUUACUUUGCUGGUUUUAAUUUUUUUUUAAUUAUCUUGAAUGAGACUUCAGAACAUCUGUAACUAGUGUCAUUGAUUCAAGUCUACAUUUCAAUAUGUUAGUAAAAGAAGAAUAGAAAGAUUGAAGCAGAGGUGUCUUAUAGAAAGAACAUCUGUGACUAGCGCACUUCAAAAAGGGUGCUUGGUUUUAUGAUUCAUUCUUUAACCAUGAUAACCUCAGUUAAUGUUUAUAGAACUGAAAGGUGGUUUCAGGUAGAAAGGAGUCCAUAAUCCCAUUGUGGGAUUAACCUUGAUUGGAUUUUUCUUUUAUAAGUAAAGAAAAGAUACCGGUUCAGAUUCUACUUUAUAGGCUUCAGUACUAAGUGAAACAGAGACUGGAUAGAAGCACAGUUUUGGUUUUUUUUUUUUAAUGCAUGUUUUCUUUUUUUAUGCGCGGUUUCUUUAAGGGAGGGUGGAACGUGUUGCUAUUCUUCUUUAAGGAGCUUUCUGUGAGUUGCUUUUUUUAAACCCUUCUGGAAUUGGAAAAACUCUUAGAAGAAAAGGUAGAGGAAGCUGCUUGUCUUUCUGAUAGCUUCAGUUUUAAGGUGCAGAAUGCAUCUGUUCCCUAGUCCUUCUCCGUCCCAUUUUUAAUUGCAAAUAUACUUUUCUGAGAUGUGAAUGCCUAAAUUUGUCACACCUUUUCCUCCGACUAGAGUUAUAUGUCCACUUUUAUUUUUAAUAUUCAUGUUUGAUUCCAUUUGAAUGGAUUUAAACCUUUUGCUUUCCCUUAUAUUUGUUUAUUGAAACCAGUUUUGGUGCUUCAACUCUUUGACUUGGGGAAUUUGCAGAUUGCAAAAAUCACAGAUGAAGGUUUCACAAUUUCUCAGCCGUAUUCAUUGAAGACUCAGUGGAAGUUUAAAGCUUUCGAGAAUCCAACAGUCGGUGCUGAGGGCUCAUGGUAGUCAGCUCUCUUGGUAUGCAAAGGAAAUCAGUGUGUUUGGAAAUAUGCACUUGAAACACGUCCUUUUAAUGUUUUAUGCAGUAGACUUGUGGGUUACAGCUCCCAAACACUAUUGUUCUUCUGGCGGACUUAUUUGCUUGUGUUUGUCACAUGAUUUAGAGACAUUGAUAAUGCUCUAGACGGUGAUGAAUUUGGAUUGAGUUUGUACUUCAGUUUGUGAAAUCUUGGUUCAAUGAAAAUUCAUGACUGGGAAUGGAACCAAUCCUUAUGCCUCUGCCAAGUCAUGACAAACUUGUCAC